rnacentral:lncRNA from 1 species
CUUAUUGAAAACAUCUCAGUUUAUUGAUGAUGAAGUUAAUAGUAUUUUUAUAUAAACAAAAUAAAAUAAAUAUAACAAAAUGAGAUCAAAUAAAAUAGUUGAGUUUUAUUUUAUUAUUUUUCAAGUAGUAGAGAAUUUUGAGUGAAGUGUACAUUUGUCGAGUGUACAUUUGUCGAGUGAAUUCAAGGAAUGGAGGCAGUGGAGUAUAAUAGCAAAAGUGUUUUGAAAAUGUGGAAAAGGAGCCAAGUCUUCAUCAGACCUGUUUUGAAAAUGUUCUCUCCUCUAGAAUGUUUGAAAGUUAAAACCGAUGUUUACACCCUCCCCAAAAUGGUUGUAAAAUUUAUGAACAUUUUUAUUUGACACGAAUGAAAAGAAAGAAUGAACAAACCUGCAUUUGGAGUUUUCACAAUGCCUAAGUUUUAUAUCUGAAACAUCAAAAACACCUGCGUCCGUGUAGAGAAAACCACUUGUCUUUGGAGAACGUAUCGCACGCAAUUAUUAUUUUCAAAAACAAAUUAUGCGCGAAUAAUACUUAUCAUAAUAGUAAUCUAUUUGAAAAAAUAGCAAUUUAAAAUAAUUUUAAA